rnacentral:rRNA from 1 species
AUUGAACGCUGGCGGCAGGCCUAACACAUGCAAGUCGAACGAGUGGCGGACGGGUGAGUAAUGUCUGGGAAACUGCCUGAUGGAGGGGGAUAACUACUGGAAACGGUAGCUAAUACCGCAUACCAUCAGAUGUGCCCAGAUGGGAGUAGCUAGUAGGUGGGGUAACGGCUAACCUAGGCGACGAUCCCUAGCUGGUCUGAGAGGAUGACCAGCCACACGUGAACUGAGACACGGUCCAGACGCCUACGGGAGGCAGCAGUGGUGAAUAUUGCACAAUGGGCGCAAGCCUGAUGCAGCCAGGCCGAGUGUGUGAAGAAGGCCUUCGGGUUGUAAAGUACUUUCAGCGGGGAGGCGUUACCCGCAGAAGAAGCACCGGCUAACUCCGUGCCAGCAGCCGCGGUAAUAC